GGGGCUGUAGUUCAAUUGGUUAGAGCACCGCUCUGUCACGGCGGAAGUUGCGGGUUCGAAUCCCGUCAGCCUCG
rnacentral:tRNA from 1 species